UUUAACGAUCAUACCAUGUUGAAAACACCAGUUCUCGUCCGAUCACUGAAGUUAAGCAACAUCGGGCGCGAUUAGUACUUAGAUGGGUGACCGCCUUGUGAACGUCGCGUGUCGUUGGGC
rnacentral:rRNA from 2 species